UGACAUUUAAUUUGUCGAUCCCGACAGAUAGGCUCUGUAAUUCUUGACCAUUGGACCGGAGUACACAAAAUGCACUACCUAGAUUACACCCUAGGAACAUGUUUAUGUUGACUUUUUGGUUUUGUGUUUACCAAAUUCAUCUCUACAAAAUACUGGACUAUACAAUACUUAUUCACUACAUUCCAUGGGCGUGACAUCAUUCGUCGUCAACAAUUGAACCUUCUCCCCCGCUGUCUUCACCGGACUUGUCCGACGAUAUGAUAAUUACCUCAUUCUUUGCGACGUAGGCCAUGGAGUCGUUGUCGUCGGAAUCCUCCUUGUAUCUAGUGUCGAGCUCGAACACCUCAUCGAGCACACCGUUUGGUGCUUGCGGAACCUCAUGGCCAACAUCUUCCAAGCUGGGAAAAGGAACAGGGGAAAUGGCUCUCCUACCAAUACGAGAGUUAACUUCAUCAUCGUCUGAUGAAAUGUAGAUUGGAAAUAACGAAGAUGAACUCGAAACUGGCAAUGGAUCGUUCAUGUUGAAUGGUUCGUUGCUUCUUGUGGAAAAACUCAUUAUGUCGAUGUAAUAAAUUGUUGAUGAAAUUACUUGUAUGUGAAAAGUUGAAAGUCUCACAAUGCUAUUGAAGUAGGUUGCUUGUGAGUGAGAAUGAACUGCCACAGUAUUUAUAAGCAACUUCAAGGGAGGAAGCAAUUAUGGUCAUCAUUUACACAACCACCAAGUCCAAUCUCUUUGUAAAUUUGAAAAACAAUUGGUGUGAUUGUUCAAUAAAUUAAGUGUACCUUUAUCUUCAUUUCCCUAUAAUUACAAGGACCUAACAGACUCCUUAACCAUAUGUACAAUUAAGUAUAUCUACUUUCCUGUAGUUUGACAAACCAUAAAUUGCUACUUAGUUGUGUCAUGCCUGCAAUGCUACAUUGUCUCACACUUAUAGCUCCUCAUCGUAACACACAUUCUAAAUGAAGAGCGAAAAAAAGGGAAAUACUAAAUAACUCAUUUGUGAGUAAGUUGUAUUGUGGCUCUCAUGCUUUUCACACUUGUGAUGCCUCGAUCAUGUUAGGUUUUGAACAAAUGUCACAUUUGUGAAUAAGUGUACAUAAAUUUUGCAUCUAGGUCAGUACACGUAAGUUUUCAACAAAUGUCACAUCUUUUGUUUUGAACAACUCGACGGUAAUGUUACAUAGUAACGACGAAAAUAAAAUUCCACGAUUUUAUUUGCAACGAGCUCAUAUAUUUGCAACCUAUGUUAAAAAAUUUGCCACAAAUUACAAACAACUGUAAUCAUACUUUCAAUUGUAUGUGAUUCUAAGCCUAUGGUAACUUCACAUUGCAAACAAAUACCAUAAAUUACAAAUAUGAAUAACUAUAUCUUUGAAUUGCAUGUGAUCUUAAGCUCCUGGUAACUUUAGAUUGCAAACAAAUGCCAUAAAUUACAAAUAUGAAUAAUCAUAUCUUUAAAUUGCACGUGAUCCUAAGCUUCUGGUAACUUUAGAUUGCAAACAAAUGCCAUAAAUUACAAAUAUGAAUAAUCAUAUCUUUGAAUUGUAUGUGAUCAUAAGCCUAUGGUAACUUUACAUUGCAAACGAAUGCCAUAAAUUAGAAAUAUGAAUAAUCAUAUCUUUAUAUUAUAUAUGCAUCACAGCUUAUGGGAACAUUAGAUUGCAGUCACAUGCGAUAAAUUAAUUGUAUGAAUAAUCAUAUCUUUGAAUUGCAUGUGAUCCUAAGCUCCUAGUAACUUUAGAUUGUAAACGAAUGCCAUACAUUACAAAUAAGAAUAAUGAUAUCUUUAAAUUGCAUGUGAUCAUAAGCUUAUGAGAACUUUAGAUUGCAAACAAAUGCCAUAAAUUACACAUACGAAUAUUCAUAUCUUUAAAUUAUAUACGCAUCACAAUAUGUUGAACCACAAGAUAUAUUGAACCAAAAUAAAUUACCACAACCAUAAAUGACACGUAUGUAAGAUUCACGUAAUACAAGACAUGGACAAGUUAUCCUGAAUAUAACACUAAAAUGAAAUGUCAGCAAAAGUAGAAGGGGAGACUGACAUUCAGCAUGGACAACGCAAAAUGUGACGAAUGUGUCAAAGUAUCACCACGCAACACAAGACUAAUUGAAAUGUAAUUUAAAACAAAUUCGAACGAAAAUUCAUAAUCCGGAGCAUUUAACAUCAGUCCCCACCUCCAUCCCUUCAAUUACAAGGUAGAACCAGUUACGGCACCGUCAUCGUGCUAUCCUGACAAUUCAUUCACAUUUACUUCUUUGUUCGCUUCAUCCCCCUCAUAGACGGAGUCCUAGUAGAAGGAGCCAGACGUCGCAGCCAUGCGGAGCACCGUCUCGCUGUAGGAAGUGCGCAUCCUGUUUCGGGUACAGUGGCAGGAUAAGGGGCUUCGGUGACAACGCCUACAAAAAAUCAAAUUGGGUGAAGUUACGUACUCGAACUGCCCUACACUUACCAUACAUAAAAUAACCACUAGUAACAAAGGAAACUAACUUACAAUCGCCAUCCGUCACGGUGCAACCUUCGAACUCUGCAUCGUUGAUUGGGACAGCAUAUGAGGGCUCCAUAGCUCCUCUAUCUGAUGAAUAUGAAUCAUACAUAACUGCAUAGCAUUCCACAUUUGUAUUUCACAGAUAAUUAAAGCCCAGAAUACGAAAGGGAAAAAAAUUUGGGUUAACUGCCUCGUACCGUUCAAAUCUGGCACGCCCAACUGCGGCUCGAUCGGUCCUCUACCUAAUUGGAAGCAACAAUCACAUGAUAUGAAUAAGUUGCGUUUUCACGAAGUGUGUGUAACCCAUUUUGUCAAAGUUUGUGAGUACAUAUGUAUUAAUCCUUGACAAAAAUCAUCACAAACAACACAAUACCUAGCAGGUCAUCAGUUGCAGCCUCAUUCUUUGCGACGUAGGCCAUGGAGUCAUUGUCGUCGGAAUCCUCCUUGUAUCUAGUGUCGAGCUCGAACACCUCAUCGAGCACACCGUUUGGUGCUUGCGGAACCUCAUGGCCAACAUCUUCCAAGCUGGGAAAAGGAACAGGGGAAAUGGCUCUCCUACCAAUACGAGAGUUAACUUCAUCAUCGUCUGAUGAAAUGUAGAUUGGAAAUAACGAAGAUGAACUCGAAACUGGCAAUGGAUCGUUCAUGUUGAAUGGUUCGUUGCUUCUUGUGGAAAAACUCAUUAUGUCGAUGUAAUAAAUUGUUGAUGAAAUUACUUGUAUGUGAAAAGUUGAAAGUCUCACAAUGCUAUUGAAGUAGGUUGCUUGUGAGUGAGAAUGAACUGCCACAGUAUUUAUAAGCAACUUCAAGGGAGGAAGCAAUUAUGGUCAUCAUUUACA
rnacentral:lncRNA from 1 species